AAGGCCUUAAGUUAAAUAAACUAGUAGCCUUCAAAGCUAUUUAUAAAAGGAUGCCCUUUUAGACCUUA
rnacentral:tRNA from 1 species